GCAUAUCAAUAAGCGGAGGAAAAGAAACCAACAGGGAUUGCCCUAGUAACGGCGAGUGAAGCGGCAACAGCUCAAAUUUGAAAUCUGGCUACUUUGUAGUCCGAGUUGUAAUUUGUAGAGGAUGCUUUUGGUGAAGUGCUUUCUGAGUUCCCUGGAACGGGACGCCAGAGAGGGUGAGAGCCCCGUACAGUUAGCAACUGAUCCUUUGUAUAGCUCCUUCGACGAGUCGAGUAGUUUGGGAAUGCUGCUCUAAAUGGGAGGUAUAUCUCUUCUAAAGCUAAAUAUAGGCUAGAGACCGAUAGCGCACAAGUAGAGUGAUCGAAAGAUGAAAAGCACUUUGAAAAGAGAGUUAAACAGCACGUGAAAUUGUUGAAAGGGAAGCGCCUAUGACCAGACUUGUCUCUAUCAGUUUUGGUAGUUUUCGGACUGCUUUACUCUGUUAGUACAGGCCAACAUCAGUUUGUUGUCGGGGAGAAAGGCUUAGGGAAUGUGGCUCCCUCGGGAGUGUUAUAGACCUUUGCAUAAUACCCUUCGGCAGACUGAGGACCGCGCUUCGGCAAGGAUGUUGGCGUAAUGGUCAUCAGCGACCCGUCUUGAAACACGGACC
rnacentral:rRNA from 1 species